CCGUGACUUACCCAUGCACACCAAUUAAACACUUUCUCCCCCAAUAAGACACCUUCACUUUUUCAACCAAUCAGAAAAUCCCCCUCUCUUCUUCUUAGCCAAUUAGAAAAGCCUCUCUCUCUUCUUCUCCCUCGUACCCGAGCCUCUCUUCCCUCUGCAACACACACACCCAGUGUUCUAAAAAUCGGCCUAGGCGGCAGCCUAGACGGCGCAUAGGCGCUACACGGUGGCCAGCCGCUCCGAUUAGCCCAUAAUCAGGAGAAAAAUCGGCAAGAGGAUUUGGCGGGCGUGAAGGCAGCCUAGGCGGUGCUUGGGCGGCCUAGGCGGGCGACUCGAUGGCCUAGGCGGUCUGGGAGUUUUAGAGUUUUUGUCGUUGUAGAGGGCUGUGUUCUUGUUAUGGUUCUGCAAUUCUGCGUUUCACAUUUAGGAAGACUAAAGGAAGAAGAAGAUCAAAAUGAGUUUCUCUCUAUUCGCAUUCCCCCACGUGACAGACAGACAUGACCACUCGGUCCACUCCACUUUUUGUUGUAUUUUUUUAAAUUUUCUAAUCAAUUGCAGGGACAUAUAACAUACAAUCAUACAUUGAAUAUUGGUGUGGUGUGCCCCACUUCACCUGUUUUUGGUGCAGAGUGCCCAACCUUUGUUACAGGUUACACCAUUACUUUUUAUUUUUAUUUUUUUAAGUUCACUAUAUAAUAAAUAAUCUUUAAAAAAUAUUUAUUAAGUAAUAUGAAUUUUCAUCUUAUACCAUCUAAUUCAUUAAAAAAAUAUAAAGAAAAUUCUAUCUUGGAGAGAUAUUGUUGGAUAAUCUUUUUGCAUUUUAUCAUUCGUUUAUUAUCUUAUUCAUGGAUUUCAUACAAGUAUAAUUUUUUUGUAAGUGUCAAUAUGAACUUAUUUACAAGAAAUUUACCUAAAUCUGCCUAGAUCCUGCCUAGCCGCCCUACUAGCGUCUAACGUUUUUUAGAACCUUGCACACACCAACAUCAAACCUCACAUAUCGACCCUUAAAGCACCACCAUUGUGCUCCACUCAUCCUCACGAACCCAUCCGUACCAACUGAUAUUAAAAUAAACGAGUUUUGAGCUUCAAACUCGGAGCUUCGACUUAGGUGGAGUUUUCCCUGACGUUUUUCUGCUCGAGUCACAAGAUUUUGGGAGGUUUGGAAGCAUCUAGGCAACUCCCCAAGGCCAUUAGCCUAGUUUUGAAGUGGAGCCAACGAGGAAACCCACGAGUUUGAGACAACAAAAAUUAGGGCUGAGAGUCUUGAGUUUUGAUCCAUUUCUGUCUACCUUUUGGACUUUCAAGAGAAAUCGGUGAAUUUUUCCAGAUUCCAGUGAACCAGACGACGACGGACGAUGGAGGUCAAUCGAAUAAGAAGGAGAAUAUUCCGUUAAAGUUAACGGAAUAUUCUGAUGCCGUUAGACUUAAUGGAAUAUUCCAUCAGAAUCCCUGGAAUUUAUCUGUUUGUCAAGCGAGUGGCUUGCACGUGUGGCCGUAUCCUGGCGGUGAGACUUACCCUAAGGAGGUACGAGGACAAAUAAGGCUAGAAGGCUACGAUCCAUUGAUGUAUCAGACUUUGAUAGCUGAUUACUAUGUGGCGUACGAGGAAUAUCCGGCGGUUAUGACAUACCCCUAAAUAAAUGUAGGAGCUUUUCCUGUUGUGUAAUAAGCACUUUAACUAGUUUCGACUGCACACUUUUAUGUCAUCUAUGCUCUGAACACUUGUGUUUUAUGAGUUCUUCCCUCUACUGCGCACUCUCAAUUUUAGAUUAUAUAAAUGUUAGCUUUGGUUUUAAUUUAUCCAUA